rnacentral:lncRNA from 1 species
AUGGGAACCCACUCAGGAAGCGGGAAGAUGAGCCAGUGUGACCAGGUAGAUACAGAGGGCAACACCCCCAAGGUCACCCGGGGGGACCCCUGCCUAACCCCAGUCACCAUGACCUCUGGUGGCCUCUGGCACCGUGCUGUGCAAGUCCCUGCUGUCCACAGGGACCCAUGCAGGCAGGACUGCGCCACACCCAGAGUAAGGCUUCUGGUUGCAAAGCCCCACGUCACCACACCUGUCCCCAGGCACGCUGCCCACUCCAACCCCCAAAGACCCAGACCCUUACACAUUUGCCAGUGCUGGGAGCUGCUGACACACCCAAACACGCUGCCUGGACUGGCUCGUGCACUCGGGCAACAGCUGUCCUCAGGCUUAGGUGCACACAGGGGACCUGGCCCAGGGGUCUACUGCCCCUGCUUGGGCGGACAGGUCCCCCCGGCAGGGCACCCCGCAAGGACCCAAGGGUACAGUGGGGUGCACACCGCCUGUGAGCACAGGUGUGCCCUUGUGCAUGCAUGCUGCGCUGCGUCACAGGCCCGCUCCCUCUUCUGUCCUCUUAGUGACAGAGGACCGGCCGGGCACCUCCAGCCCCCGGGCCCCAUGCAUGGGCACCUGGGGGCCUCCCUACGCCCAGCAUGCUCUCGUGUACCUCGGCCUAGCUGGGCUCUGACCUUGGGCCCGUGGUCUAAUCCAGUCUUUCCCACACACACACACAGCUCCUGCCCCCUGAGGCCCUGCCAGUGCCAGGAGCUGCUAGCUUCUGCUUCGCUCAAGACAGGAGGGCCCUGCGGGGUUGAGGGCAGGCAGAGGACAGAGCAUUGGGGGCAGGGUGCCCGGGACCGGCACCUCGGCCUCGCCUCCACCCUUUGGGCACUUGUGCCCCAUGCCAAAGGCUCCCUAGUCAGAGCAGAGGCUGGCAGGACACCGAGAGAACCUAUGGCCUGCUCCCCCACCCUGGAAGCCUGGGGUCCUGGAAGGUGCCCUGUGGGGGCCACGGGCAGGGCGGUCCCUCUACCAUCAGCUGGCACCCAAGGCCCCUCCUGGCCUCCCGUCCCUCUAGCCCAAGACUUGGCACCCACCCGUCAGCGGGGACCCACAUGCCUACCCACCCGACUGCUCCAUCAGUGGAGACACUGCUCCAAAUGUGGCGCCUCCCAACAGCACCCUGGUUUCCUGACCAGACUCAGCACCUGGAAUCCCCUCAGGAAGUGA